rnacentral:rRNA from 2 species
UUCUGAUUGAUAACAUUUGAGUGAGUGGCGGACGGGUGAGUAACACGUGGGUAACCUGCCCUAAAGUGGGGGAUAACAUUUGGAAACAGAUGCUAAUACCGCAUAAAACCUAGCACCGCAUGGUGCAAGGUUGAAAGAUGGUUUCGGCUAUCACUUUAGGAUGGACCCGCGGUGCAUUAGUUAGUUGGUGAGGUAAAGGCUCACCAAGACCGUGAUGCAUAGCCGACCUGAGAGGGUAAUCGGCCACACUGGGACUGAGACACGGCCCAGACUCCUACGGGAGGCAGCAGUAGGGAAUCUUCCACAAUGGACGAAAGUCUGAUGGAGCAACGCCGCGUGAGUGAAGAAGGUUUUCGGAUCGUAAAACUCUGUUGUUGGAGAAGAACGUAUUUGAUAGUAACUGAUCAGGUAGUGACGGUAUCCAACCAGAAAGCCACGGCUAACUACGUGCCAGCAGCCGCGGUAAUACGUAGGUGGCAAGCGUUGUCCGGAUUUAUUGGGCGUAAAGCGAGCGCAGGCGGUUUCUUAAGUCUGAUGUGAAAGCCUUCGGCUCAACCGAAGAAGUGCAUCGGAAACUGGGAAACUUGAGUGCAGAAGAGGACAGUGGAACUCCAUGUGUAGCGGUGAAAUGCGUAGAUAUAUGGAAGAACACCAGUGGCGAAGGCGGCUGUCUGGUCUGUAACUGACGCUGAGGCUCGAAAGCAUGGGUAGCAAACAGGAUUAGAUACCCUGGUAGUCCAUGCCGUAAACGAUGAGUGCUAGGUGUUGGAGGGUUUCCGCCCUUCAGUGCCGCAGCUAACGCAUUAAGCACUCCGCCUGGGGAGUACGACCGCAAGGUUGAAACUCAAAGGAAUUGACGGGGGCCCGCACAAGCGGUGGAGCAUGUGGUUUAAUUCGAAGCAACGCGAAGAACCUUACCAGGUCUUGACAUCCUUUGACCACUCUAGAGAUAGAGCUUUCCCUUCGGGGACAAAGUGACAGGUGGUGCAUGGUUGUCGUCAGCUCGUGUCGUGAGAUGUUGGGUUAAGUCCCGCAACGAGCGCAACCCUUAUUACUAGUUGCCAGCAUUUAGUUGGGCACUCUAGUGAGACUGCCGGUGACAAACCGGAGGAAGGUGGGGACGACGUCAAAUCAUCAUGCCCCUUAUGACCUGGGCUACACACGUGCUACAAUGGAUGGUACAACGAGUCGCGAGACCGCGAGGUUUAGCUAAUCUCUUAAAACCAUUCUCAGUUCGGAUUGUAGGCUGCAACUCGCCUACAUGAAGCCGGAAUCGCUAGUAAUCGCGGAUCAGCAUGCCGCGGUGAAUACGUUCCCGGGCCUUGUACACACCGCCCGUCACACCAUGAGAGUUUGUAA